UGGGGAAUUUUGGACAAUGGGCGCAAGCCUGAUCCAGCAAUGCCGCGUGCAGGAUGAAGGCCUUCGGGUUGUAAACUGCUUUUGUACGGGGCGAAAAGGUCUGCCCUAAUACGGUGGGCUCAUGACGGUACCGUAAGAAUAAGCACCGGCUAACUACGUGCCAGCAGCCGCGGUAAUACGUAGGGUGCGAGCGUUAAUCGGAAUUACUGGGCGUAAAGCGUGCGCAGGCGGGUAUAUAAGACAGAGGUGAAAUCCACGGGCUCAACCUGGGACCUGCAUUUGUGACUGUAUAGCUAGAGUACGGUAGAGGGAGAUGGAAUUCCGCGUGUAGCAGUGAAAUGCGUAGAUAUGCGGAGGAACACCGAUGGCGAAGGCAAUCCCCUGGACCUGUACUGACGCUCAUGCACGAAAGCGUGGGGAGCAAACA
rnacentral:rRNA from 1 species